CGUAGGGUGCAAGCGUUGUCCGGAAUUAUUGGGCGUAAAGAGCUCGUAGGCGGUUUGUUGCGUCGGCUGUGAAAUCCCGAGGCUCAACCUCGGGUCUGCAGUCGAUACGAGCAAACUAGAGUGUUGCAGGGGAGACUGGAAUUCCUGGUGUAGCGGUGAAAUGCGCAGAUAUCAGGAGGAACACCGGUGGCGAAGGCGGGUCUCUGGGCAACAACUGACGCUGAGGAGCGAAAGCGUGGGGAGCGAACGGGAUUAGAUACCCUGGUAGUCCACGCCGUAAACGUUGGGCGCUAGGUGUGGGGCUCAUUCCACGAGUUCCGUGCCGCAGCUAACGCAUUAAGCGCCCCGCCUGGGGAGUACGGCCGCAAGGCUA
rnacentral:rRNA from 1 species